UUAAAUUGAAGAGUUUGAUCAUGGCUCAGAUUGAACGCUGGCGGCAGGCCUAACACAUGCAAGUCGAACGGUAACAGAAAGCAGCUUGCUGCUUUGCUGACGAGUGGCGGACGGGU
rnacentral:rRNA from 1 species